GGGUCCUGGCUCAGCGGUAAAGUGCUUGCCUAGCACAUGGGAGGCCCUGGGUUCGAUUCUCAGCACCCA
rnacentral:tRNA from 1 species